ensembl:snRNA U6 U6 spliceosomal RNA
GUGCUCGCUUCGGCAGCACAUGUACUAAAAUUGGAACAAUACUGAGAAGAUUAGCAUGGCCCCUGCGCAGGGAUGACACGUAAAAUAAUAAAAUGAAAGCAUUAUUU